UACAUGUGGGGCAAGCGUUGUUCGGAAUUACUGGGCAUAAAGGGUGCGUAGGCGGCUUGUUAAGUCAGGGGUGAAAGUUUUCGGCCCAACCGGAAAAUUGCCUUUGAUACUGGCGAGCUUGAGUGCGUGAGGGGUAACCGGAACGAGUGGUGUAGCGGUGAAAUGCGUAGAUAUCACUCGGAAGGCCAAAGGCGAAGGCAGGUUACUGGUACGCAACUGACGCUGAGGCACAAAAGCGUGGGGAGCAAACAGG
rnacentral:rRNA from 1 species